rnacentral:tRNA from 1 species
GAGCCCGUGGUUCAAUGGCUAGAGCGUUCGACUCAAUUACCAAAGAUCCUGGGUUCAACUCCCAGUUGGUCCA